rnacentral:lncRNA from 1 species
GUGAAGCCCUGAUGCCCUUUGCCUCAGGAGCAGAACAGGCUAGUGCUUCGGGUGACUCAAAGUGCUGACUCAGCUGUAGCCUGCAUAAGUGGUUUAUUUGGGGUUGUUUUGUUUUGUUUUGUUUAGCCUUUGGGGUGUUUUAAAGAACAUGUUUAACAAAAAAUAAAAAAAUAAUAAAAGCUAGGGCUCCUGCUGCCAAGAUUUCUGUCAAGGAAACCUUGUUUGAGAACGAUGUUAAUAAAAUUCUAUUGCAAAAUUCUUUUCUAGAAAAAAUAAAUAACACAAAAAAAGAAGAAAUUCCAAAGUAAUAAAAACUUUUCUUGAAACAGAUUUAAAAAAAUGUUUGCUUACUAUUUGAUUAAAUAAAUUUACUUACGUUUCUUUAAGGUAUUUUAAUUUUUUUAAUGUCUCUGUGGAGUAUUUGUAUGAUACCAUAAUGUAUAUUUCUGUAGAAACAAAUUAUAUAAACAGUAUCAAUAUCAUUAUAGAAAAAUAACACUUUAAUGUAUAUUGUUCUAACCAAUCAUAUUGUGAAUCAUUUUGAAGUUCAUUAUAGCGAUAUUGAUAAAUUGUGAACUUGUCUUAAUGUUUUUUUUUAAUUAACCAAUAUUAUUUUAAACCUGAGAUUCUCACAUUCACCAGUUGGUGAGUUUUGAAGAAAAACUAAAUUUCAUUUCAACUGACAAAUGUAUAUGGUUUGAGUUCAGUGUGGAAGAAUUUUAAUACAAUAUUAAAUUACUUGAACUGAAUAGUUCCUUGUAUAUAUUUUGCCUAUUCACUGUUGAUAUGUAUGUAGUAAACAGAGAAGAGAAUAACAUUCGAAUAUGGUACCAACGGGACUUGUACAGGAGUGAAGCAUCCAGGAGCUCUGCUGACACACAAGCGGAUGUAUAUAUAAGCGUGGGCUUCCAGUUAUAAAUUUUGUAAUUUUUGUCAUUAUUUAUAUCCUAUAUUAAAAAAAAAGCACACAAAAUAAAACAGAAGUUGUACAGUGGCUGGUGCCUGGCAUUGUUCUGUGAGCACCGCCCCGGGACCAAAGGCCCAGCCCUCUCCACAGAUAAAGAGACUUGUUUUCAAUUGGCAAGAUCAGUGAGGAAAAAAAAAAAAACUUGCUCAUUUUCAAGUUCAUGGUCUGAAAAAGAAACACUGUCUUCCCGAAGCUUGAAUUUUAGCCAUAAGCCAAGAUGCCUUUGCAUUGUCUUUUUUAAAGUGGCAUAUAAGGGGGAAAUUGGCAAGACAGACAUUUCUAAAACAGAGGAGACCACACACACACACACAUGCAAAAAAAAUACAUAAAAAAUAAAAAACAGACUGCUUAUGUAGCAUAAAACAUAUAGCUUGCUUGGGCAAACAUCCCCUGAACAUCCUAUACAUCCUCAAGUCCUUUCAUCUUUUUUUCCCUAAAACGUGUACCUGCUAUAAAGUAGGUGAUGGGCUAGUCAGAGCUACACUGAUUCUGUGGUCAGCGACCAUCAUGCUGCAGGUCCCUCAACCUCCAUCACCCAUUGCCCAAUCCAUGACUGCUACCCUUGAAAACCCAAAACAGUCUUAGGGUGCUCUCUGCCUGUCAUUCAGAGGCCUGGGACUUUGAACCCAAAAGAGAUAAACCCAUGAAAGCUGGGUUGAAGUGGGCCCGGGACCUGGGAUACCUCAGGCAGGGGUUUUCCACUCUGACGCUUCCACUGGGCCAGUUUGUUCACUUUGUUUUUAUUUUCUCUGUUCAUCACAUGUGUGUUUGUAUUCAUAAUGAUUCCAGCAUGAAGUACGGAGCACACUCCAAUUAGGGAAAAUUAAAAGACACAAGACUAGCGUAGUGGUGAAACAUCUUCUUGUGCUGGCACCAGGUUGAAGAAGCAGUAAGAACAAAGCCAGCCAUGUGGCAGAGUUAGGCCCCUCCAGAUGGUAGGGUACAACAGACAAUUGUGGUUCAUCUCAGAGAGAAAGGCAGGGGUAACUCUAAUCUCACUCUCCAUUCUUCACCCAAAUCGAAGGUCGGGGCACAGGAUCAGCCCAUGGCCAGAGCAAGGCAGAGAACGAAAGGGACACGCCAGAAGCAGAAAAGCCAACUCAGGCAUGGGAGAUGGGAUUUAUAGCUGACUUUGUUUAAAGGAAAAGCCUGAUAUUUGACAAAUGCAGUAACCAGCAGUUGAGAGUGACAAGCCCUUAAAUGCUAACAUUAAUCAAAGGCAAACUUAAAUGGCUCCCUUUACAGAAGGACUUCAAUUCAAUCGAUCCGUUUAAUUUUUUUUCUUAUUAAAUGGUGUUCUGUAAUAAAUCUGGAUGGAUGGAUCCUAUAAAAAUUCUGCUCGGCUUGUUAAUAAGUCAUGGAAGUGGUUUCUCUCACAUUGAACUGCUUGGGAAUGUCGCCAGCCUAUCUAAUGUUUGGAUGAGAUGGAACAGGCGUCUAAGCUUAAAGGGCGUGUGGCCACCUCCUCCAAAAUCAGUAAACAUUUGUACUUGGACUCCAAGUAAAUGUUGCUCCUAUUUCUAAAAUGAAUUGAAGAUUUGGGGGAGUAGUCUAGUUUCCAGUGAGCUAGAAUGUAAUGUCCACGUUCAGAAAUCUGUAUAGAAUAAAGCCUCUUUACUGAC